AAUGGCAACAGGGACAGAAAUAAUGUUGAACGGAAACACUUUAGGGAGAGAGAGAGGAGAAAUAAAUACAACUCGAGGGAUAAAAAUGGAAAAAAUAAAUGGACGAAGCCCUGCUUAUUGACGCUUAUUAUAUAUAAGAUAAGAUAAGAUAUAUAUA